GUCACUGUGGGGAGAUGCAUGCACUGCCCAUGUCCAUUGUUCUGGCUUGCCUGCCGGUUUGCCUGCUCUUGUGUCUCCCCGCCUAUUCAAAGUAGGAGAGAGACCAGCAGCAGAAAUCAAAGCAGACCCUGACUGAAUUUACUUGUUAUUGAAGACAGGAAUCUUUGCUUUUACAGGUCCUAUGAAGUUGACAUCUGGUGAAUUGUCCCAGGAUGAUAAAAAGUUCCAGUUAGCCCUCCCUGGACUAAACAGAAUUCCAGGAAGACCAGUGGGAUCAUAAUUUGUUUGAACAUAUAAGUGAAAAAGUCAGAAUCGGUCAAUUUAGAGAAGAGAUGCACAAAUGGAGAUAUCACAGAACCACAAUGGGAGGCAGGCGAGUGCCCUGUAUAGUGUGUGAGUGAGAAGGUGUACGUCAGUGCCUGUGGUCCUGUAUGCCCAGGGGAUUGAUCAGUGCUGUUCAAACCUGACAUUCCAGGGAGUGGAGAUAUUUUGAAGUGGAUGUUUGAAGAAUGGAAUUAUAUCCUUUCUGUUUUUUGAGUCAUCCAUUGUCUGUUUAAUUCCCUGGGGCUGUUAAUUAUAUAUAAAUGUAACAAAGGCUCUGGGAGUGUGUAAUAUUUAAAGUGAAAGUCUAAGGCUUCCAGUGUCUGGGGUGAAUUAUUCUUUUCUGGCCUAACAAAGCUGGCAGAACUUCAGUUAAGGGAAGGGCACAAUAAUGAUGUGUUUAACUGUGUUUUAUGUAAUUUGUGAACUUUCUGAAAUGCUUGUAUAAUAACUACUUUAUCCCUGAAAACCUGAUAAGUAUUUUUCCAAUGGGGUUUGAGUUAAAUUUGCAUGUGAAUUGCUUUACGUUUUUUCAACAAAUAUGUUGUUAUCUCUGACUGAAAUGUGGAUUGAGGAAUCACUUGAAACAUAAUACAGAAGUAGCACUGAAGACCUCAGCAGACUGAAAAAUAAUUGAA